CCAUUCUUCGUUUUCUUCCCAAAACAACCCAACAAUGGGAUUUUAAUUCAAAUACAAUUGUUAUUCACAAACAAACUCUUAUGCAAUUAAAAACUUCAAUCCAAAUCAAACCCAUCUAAAAAUCUAAUUUUCAUCAAACCAAACCCACCCAAAUUUCAAUUUUCUUCAUCAAAUCAACCCACCCAAUUCAUGAAAUUUAUCCCCCAACUAUACCUAUAAAUACCCAUUAUUGCCUCCCUCAAUUCACCACCACCACCAUUCCACUGUCUUCGCCGGAAUUCCACCACCCUCGCCGGAAAACGCAACCAAAAAUACACCCCCCAAACCUCUGGUUUUUCGCAACAACUACACUCUCUCUCCUCUGUUUUUUUCAGCCACCACCACCGAAGCUCUGCCUCGCCUCCUGUGCGCCACCACCACACCACCUCACCACCGCUCGCUCGUCCCCUCCUUCUCUCGCCUUUCUCUUUCUUCUUUCUCUCGCUCGCCCCUUCCUCUUCUUCUCUCUCGCGCGCCUCACCUUCCCUGUGUCACGCUGCAGCCACUGCUACACCCGACGACGCUGCUCAACAAAAUCAGACAACCCACCACUGUGCCGCCUUGUGAUCGGAACCCCAACCCAUCGCCAGCCAAUCUCUAUCUCUCCUCUGCUCUGUUUUUCGGGUCUGCUCAAUUGAGCAGAGAUUAAACGGAAAGGAUAUUACAGCCUCCCCCGUCUUUCAAGGUUAUUAAGCAGGAAUCGAGGUACUGAUGAAGAUGACGGGAUGGCGUAGAAGUGAGGAUGGUCAACUACUU